rnacentral:rRNA from 1 species
UACGUAGGGAGCAAGCGUUGUCCGGAUUUACUGGGUGUAAAGGGUGCGUAGGCGGGCUUGCAAGUCAGAAGUGAAAUCUAUGGGCUUAACCCAUAAACUGCUUUUGAAACUGUAAGUCUUGAGUGAAGUAGAGGUAGACGGAAUUCCCGGUGUAGCGGUGAAAUGCGUAGAGAUCGGGAGGAACACCAGUGGCGAAGGCGGCUCUCUGGUCUGCAACUGACGCUGAGGCUCGAAAGCAUGGGUAGCGAACAGG